CAAUAGCGUAUAUUAAAGUUGCUGCAGUUAAAAGCUCGUAGUUGGAUUUGUGGCGCGGCCGUCCGGCGGGGGCUCUUCAUUGAGCCCGUUUGUCCUGGUUUUCGGCCGUUCCUUUCUCGGGUAGCGUGUGGCUGGCAUUAGGUUGUUGGCCGCUUCGCGCCCGUCUUUUACUGUGAAAAAUUAGAGUGUUCAAAGCAGGCUUAGGCCGUUGGAUACAUUAGCAUGGAAUAAUGAGAUAGGGCCACGACGGUCUAUUUUGUUGGUUUGCACGUUGUGGUAAUGAUUAACAGGAACGGUUGGGGGUAUUCGUAUUCAAUUGUCAGAGGUGAAAUUCUUGGAUUUGUGGAAGACGAACUACUGCGAAAGCAUUUACCAAGGAUGUUUUCAUUAAUCAAGAACGAAAGUUAGGGGAUCGAAGAUGAUCAGAUACCGU
rnacentral:rRNA from 1 species